GGGUACAUGGUCUAGUGGUAUGAUUUUCGCUUCGCACCUGCUAACCAGCGAUGCGCCCUGUGAAAGGUCCCCGGUUCGAUCCCGGGUGUAUCCA